AGAGUGGUUAAGGCAGGCAGAUCCAAUUUUCUGCCACCGAAUACAUUAGCAUGGGAUAAUGGAAUAGGACCCUGUCCUCCUAUUUUCAGUUGGUUUUGGCAGCGCGAGGACUAGGGUAAUGAUUAAUAGGGAUAGUUGGGGGCAUUAAUAUUUAAUUGUCAGAGGUGAAAUUCUUGGAUUUAUGAAAGAUUAACUUCUGCGAAAGCAUCUGCCAAGGAUGUUUUCAUUAAUCAAGAACGAAAGUUAGGGGAUCGAAGACGAUCAGAUACCGUCGUAGUCUUAACCAUAAACGAUGCCGACCAGCGAUUAGGAGACGUUGAAUACAAAACACCACCAUCGGUGCGGUCGUCCUUGGCGUCUGUCCCUCUCGGCGGGCCGGAGGGCGGGUUAGGCUGAUGCCGGUGGUGACUGACUACGAAUCCGCUUGAGAUAAUGAGAAAA
rnacentral:rRNA from 1 species